rnacentral:tRNA from 1 species
ACAAUGCUAGCUCAGUCAGUAGAGCAUGAGACUCUUAAUCUCAGAGUUGUGGGUUCGUGCCCCACGUUGGGUG